AAGGAGAAUUGCCUACUGUUUAAUUUUGAGGGUUCGUUUUUACGAAUACUCAAAAGUAGCACUUUAAGCAACAGAAUAAACUGAACGCAUGUGAAGUUCGUUUGUUGGCGCUGUGUGUUAGCACUUUAAGCAACGGGAUUUAUCCGUUGGCGCUGUGCUUUAGCACUUUAAGCAACGGAAUUUAUUCGUUGGCGCUGUGCAUUAGCACUUUGAAAACUGCAUAUAUAUAUUUAGUGAUAUGACAUCUAAUUUGUAAUAUAAAGCUGAUAACUUUUUAAAAUUAUCGAAGUUGAUAGCUUCUAAUCUAUCAAACCUUUUUAAC
rnacentral:misc_RNA from 1 species